AUUGAACGCUGGCGGCAGGCCUAACACAUGCAAGUCGAGCGGUAGCACAGAGAGCUUGCUCUCGGGUGACGAGCGGCGGACGGGUGAGUAAUGUCUGGGAAACUGCCUGAUGGAGGGGGAUAACUACUGGAAACGGUAGCUAAUACCGCAUAAUGUCGCAAGACCAAAGUGGGGGACCUUCGGGCCUCAUGCCAUCAGAUGUGCCCAGAUGGGAUUAGCUGGUAGGUGGGGUAACGGCUCACCUAGGCGACGAUCCCUAGCUGGUCUGAGAGGAUGACCAGCCACACUGGAACUGAGACACGGUCCAGACUCCUACGGGAGGCAGCAGUGGGGAAUAUUGCACAAUGGGCGCAAGCCUGAUGCAGCCAUGCCGCGUGUGUGAAGAAGGCCUUCGGGUUGUAAAGCACUUUCAGCGGGGAGGAAGGCGGUGAGGUUAAUAACCUCAUCGAUUGACGUUACCCGCAGAAGAAGCACCGGCUAACUCCGUGCCAGCAGCCGCGGUAAUACGGAGGGUGCAAGCGUUAAUCGGAAUUACUGGGCGUAAAGCGCACGCAGGCGGUCUGUCAAGUCGGAUGUGAAAUCCCCGGGCUCAACCUGGGAACUGCAUUCGAAACUGGCAGGCUAGAGUCUUGUAGAGGGGGGUAGAAUUCCAGGUGUAGCGGUGAAAUGCGUAGAGAUCUGGAGGAAUACCGGUGGCGAAGGCGGCCCCCUGGACAAAGACUGACGCUCAGGUGCGAAAGCGUGGGGAGCAAACAGGAUUAGAUACCCUGGUAGUCCACGCUGUAAACGAUGUCGAUUUGGAGGUUGUGCCCUUGAGGCGUGGCUUCCGGAGCUAACGCGUUAAAUCGACCGCCUGGGGAGUACGGCCGCAAGGUUAAAACUCAAAUGAAUUGACGGGGGCCCGCACAAGCGGUGGAGCAUGUGGUUUAAUUCGAUGCAACGCGAAGAACCUUACCUGGUCUUGACAUCCACAGAACUUAGCAGAGAUGCUUUGGUGCCUUCGGGAACUGUGAGACAGGUGCUGCAUGGUUGUCGUCAGCUCGUGUUGUGAAAUGUUGGGUUAAGUCCCGCAACGAGCGCAACCCUUAUCCUUUGUUGCCAGCGGUUAGGCCGGGAACUCAAAGGAGACUGCCAGUGAUAAACUGGAGGAAGGUGGGGAUGACGUCAAGUCAUCAUGGCCCUUACGACCAGGGCUACACACGUGCUACAAUGGCAUAUACAAAGAGAAGCGACCUCGCGAGAGCAAGCGGACCUCAUAAAGUAUGUCGUAGUCCGGAUUGGAGUCUGCAACUCGACUCCAUGAAGUCGGAAUCGCUAGUAAUCGUAGAUCAGAAUGCUACGGUGAAUACGUUCCCGGGCCUUGUACACACCGCCCGUCACACCAUGGGAGUGGGUUGCAAAAGAAGUAGGUAGCUUAACCUUCGGGAGGGCGCUUACCACUUUGUGAUUCAUGACUGGGGUGA
rnacentral:rRNA from 1 species